GCGGAGGCAGCGGGAGGGGACCUUGUGGAGUAGAGGGGUAACAAGAUGGCGGCGGAGACGGUAGAGCUCCAUAAACUGAAGAGCACUUCUUAACAUUUUGGAGGUCACAGAUAUCUUUGAAACUCUGAUGAAAGCUUGCUGAACUAAAGCAGGAGUGUCUUGCUCGUGGUUUGGAGACUAAGGGAAUAAAACAAGAUCUCAUCAACAGGCUUCAGGCCUACCUUGAAGAGCAUGCUGAAGAGGAGGCAAAUGAAGAAGAUGUACUGGGAGAUGAAACAGAGGAAGAAGAACCAAAGCCCAUAGAACUGCCUGUCAAAGAGGAAGAACCCCCUGAAAAAACUGUUGAUGUGGCAUCAGAAAAGAAAGUGGUAAAAAUUACAUCUGAAAUACCACAGACUGAGAGAAUGCAGAAGAGAGCUGAACGAUUCAAUGUACCUGUGAGUUUGGAGAGUAAGAAAGCUGCCCGGGCAGCUAGAUUUGGGAUUUCUUCAGUUCCAUCAAAAGGCCUGUCAUCUGACACCAAGCCUAUGGUUAACCUGGACAAGCUAAAGGAAAGAGCUCAAAGAUUCGGUUUGAAUGUCUCUUCAAUCUCCAGAAAGUCUGAAGAUGACGAGAAACUGAAAAAGAGGAAGGAACGAUUUGGAAUUGUCACAAGUUCAGCUGGAACAGGAACCACAGAGGAUACAGAGGCAAAGAAGAGGAAAAGAGCAGAGCGCUUUGGGAUUGCCUGAUGAGAAGCUCAGUGUUUUCUGUUCUCCAGUGGUUUCCAUUUCUCUGAUUCUUAUUGGUCACAUAUAUACCUAAAUACAGUUUUGUGCCUAGGUCCUGCCUCUCAUUAAGAGAGCAUGUACCCCAGGUACACUGGUGAACUACAGUAGCAGUUUGACUUCUUACUGUUCCAACUUUAAGAUUGUUGUUGUUGUGUUGUUGUUUUUUUAAUUAUUAUUUUGCUUGUUAAUAAAAAAUAGAAAAGAGAA